rnacentral:rRNA from 1 species
UACAGAGGAGCCAAGCGUUGUCCGGAUUGACUGGGCGUAAAGCGCACGCAGGCGGUCGCGCGCGUGGGGUGUGAAAUCUGGCCGCUUAACGGCCAGGCGCCAUCCCAUACGGCGCAACUGGAGGGCUGCAGAGGUCGAUGGAAUUGCCGGUGUAGCGGUGAAAUGCGCAGAUAUCAGGAAGAACACCCGUGGCGAAGGCGGUUCUCUGGGACGGUACUGACGCUGAGACGCGAAAGCGUGGGGAGCGAACAGG